CCUUGCCCUGGUAGAGCACCAUGCUGCCCUGGCGGGCCAGCACGGCCUGGUCGCCUCCGGCGCCGAGGUC
rnacentral:tRNA from 1 species